AGACGUUCACAGUGGAAGACAAGCAGCAACAGGCCUCAAACCAGCAGGAAUACAGCAUCAGUGCUGCUUCAUAUUUAGACAACGGAGACUUCUGGUGUAAAGGAGCAGCUCCUAAAACUACAGAUUCACGAGAUGCUGCAGAAGAUUCUAACAUGAAACCAGUUGGUACCAGGUGUGAGAGCUGUGAGCUGCAGAUCUUGUGCUUGUCCACAGUGAAGCGUUCUCUUCAUGAGGACUCAGACUUGAUGUGAGGAUGGGACACACUUUCCUCUGUGAGCUGCAGUUUCUAUUGCUGAUCAGACUUUUCUGGUGUGGACACGCUGAAGAUGCUGUGUUGACCCUUGAACCCAACUGGACCAGAUUUGUUCCUGGAGAGUCUGUGACCUUCACAUGUGACAUGAAGGAGGGAGAAAAUACUGACUGGGAAAUUAGAUUCACCAAAGAUGGACAAAAGUUUGUUCGUGAUAGUUCAGCUCCAACUCUAACAAUAAAAAAACUUUUUACAAGACACAGUGGUAAAUACCAGUGCUCUGGUCUUCACAAGACUAAAAAACAUAUGAAAAUCAGUAAAAGCAUCUCUUUAAUUGUAUCAGACAAAAAAGAAAACCCCAAAGCCAGACUGACAGCAGGUCCAUCAACCAUAUCAGUAGGAGGCAGCGUGACACUGAGCUGCUCUGUGGACGACUCUGAUGGAUGGAAAUAUGACUGGUUCAGACGGACGUCAAACACUUAUGUGACACCAGCAGCUGAUGGAGACAACAGAGAAAUCAGAGUCACACAAGGAGGCGUCUACACGUGCAAAGGAGGAAGAGGAGAACCAGCUGCCUACUCUGAUCAAAGUGAUGAUGUCACCAUCAAGAUAACUUAUUCUAAUUCUGUGUCUGUGAGUCUACAACUGGACUGGACUCAGGUGAUCAGAGGUCAGAUCACUGUUAGAUGUGAGAUCCAGGGAGGUGGAGACACUCAGUGGGUUUAUGACUGGAAAACAACCAGUGGACAAACAAUCACACAGAGAACAGACACUAAUUACUGGACAGUGUCUGCGUUCAGCAGUGGAGGCUACAGGUGCAGAGGAACAAACAGACAGGACUCAGAUUCUUCAACACGGUGGAGUGAAGCUGCCGCACUGACAGUAUCAGGUGCUGUGUUGACCCUUGACCCCAGCAGGUCCAGGUAUUUUACUGGAGAGUCUGUGACCUUCACAUGUGACAUGAAGGACGACAAACGCACUGACUGGGAAACCAGACUCAUCAAAGAUGGAGGAGAAAUAGCUUCAUAUAAUAGAUACAGAAUAAAAGCUCUGUCUACAGGAGACAGUGGUAGAUACCAGUGUUUUAGUGUCCACAGGAAAACAAAUCACAUAAAAACCAGUGAAACCACCAAUUUAACUGUAUCAGUCCCAAACAAGGUGGUCGUGACUCUUCAUCCCAACUGGACUCAGUUGUUCAGUGGAGAGACGAUCACUGUCAGAUGUGAGAUUGAGGACAGAGGAGACACUGAGUGGGAAUAUGAAUGGAAAACACCCAGAUCAAUAAAUCCCUCAGACCAACAUGAACACACCAUAACUGUUGGCUCAUCAGACAGUGGAGGCUACAGCUGUAAGGGCAGAAUGAAGAGGGAACAACAGUCUUCAACAGUGUGGAGUGAUGCUGUCACACUGAGAGUCUCUGACAAUAAAGCCCAGUGUGUCCUCACAGCGUCUCCAUCUUGGCUGAGUCCUGGAGCCUCAGUAGCUCUGAGCUGUGAGGUUGAGCCUCCAUCUGCAGGAUGGAGGUUCUACUGGUACCAGACUGUUCCUGAUGGCUCACACAGCUCCUACAGAUAUGAGCUGCUACCUGGUAGUGAGCAUGGGACUGAACAGGGCUCCUACAUGCUUGAUGGACACACACACACAGCAGGAUAUGUGUGUAGAGCUGCAAGAGGAGAACCAGUGUAUUACACUGACUACAGCAAAGCAGCAUUCGUCUGGUCUGGAGAUGUUGAUCCGUCAGCGUCUCUCACAGUGAGUCCUGACACAGUUCAACACUUCACCCGUGACUCUGUGUCACUGAGCUGUGAGGGAAACUCUACUGAGUGGAGAGUCAGGAGGUUUCCUGAAGGAGGCUUCCUGUCAUCCUGCUCCAACUGGACAACAUCUGGAUCCAGAUGUGACAUCAACACAUCACAGUCUGGUUCUGCAGUGUUCUGGUGUGAGUCUGGAUCAGGACACUUCAGUAACUCAGUCAACGUCACUGUUCAUGAUGGUGACAUCGUCCUAGUGAGUCCUGUUCUUCCUGUGACUCAGGGAACAGCUGUGACUCUUGGCUGCAGGUCGAGGACACAACAUGUUGUGUCUAAUGUGUCUUUCUAUAACAACGAUCAACUGAUCCAAAGUGACACCAGAGCAGAGCUGAACAUCUCUGCAGCGUCAGAGUCCCAUCAAGGCUUUUAUUCAUGUCAAGUGAAGGAACCGAGCAGGACACUGACAUCAGCACAGAGCUGGAUGUCAGUCACACUGUCCAGCUCUGACAGCUUUUCACUUCCUGUGUUGUUGAUCGCUGUGCUGGUUUGUGGAUUUACACUCAUGCUGCUGCUGCUCUUCUGUCUCUACAAAAAGUCUAAAGCACGUUCCACCAGAUCUCGGAGGACCAAUCAGAGCUCUGCUACAGAUCACAUGACCCAUCAGGAUGGAAGAAACGAUGAUCCUCUUCUUCAUGAUGCAUCCAGAGAACUCACAUACUCUGAGAUUAAGUUUAAAAACAUCCGUAAAAACAAACAAAGGGAAGCUGAGGAUGCUUCAGUUUACGCUCAUGUGAGAACUGGAUCAGCUGCAGGUACCAUUUACUGUAUUAUAAUACUGGUCAGUGUAGCUUCUUCAACAAAGAGUUUUAGGUUGCAGUAUGACGUAUGCCCAGGUGAACACUCGUUCUGUCAGGAAGGAUAAAGCCAAGACAACUAAAGAAAAAUCUGGUUCAGCAGCGAAUGAGUGUGUUUAUUCUGAAGUGAAAAAAUGAACCUCUGGGUAACAGAUCAGCCAAGCAGUGGGUAACAUGGAAAACUUCAUUACUAUUUGAAUUAUGUUUGCAGCUUCAUGUUUAUGUUUAAUUUAUAGAACUAUAAUCUCAUAUUUACUUUUGCUAUGACUGACUGACACUGAUUUAUGUUACAGCAAUAAAAGUGUUCAGUGUUUAUGUUGUAAUUAUGCUCUGGACUUUAUUGAUGAAUAAACUUGGAACUGAAACCGA